CAGCAGCCACGGGAACACGGAGGGUGCAAGCGUUAAUCGGAAUUACUGGGCGUAAAGCGCACGCAGGCGGUCUGACAAGUCAGAUGUGAAAUCCCCGGGCUUAACCUGGGAACUGCAUUUGAAACUGUCAGGCUGGAGUCUUGUAGAGGGGGGUAGAAUUCCAGGUGUAGCGGUGAAAUGCGUAGAGAUCUGGAGGAAUACCGGUGGCGAAGGCGGCCCCCUGGACAAAGACUGACGCUCAGGUGCGAAAGCGUGGGGAGCAAACAGGAUUAGAUACCCGUGUAGUCCCUGUCUCUUAUAC
rnacentral:rRNA from 1 species